GCGGCGCGUUUUAAGCAUGCAAGUCGAACGGUACGCAUGGCGCUUGCACUGUGCUGAGAGUGGCGAACUGGUGAGUAACACGUAGGUGAUCUACCUUGAGGCCUGGGAUAGCCUGUGGAAACACAGGGUAAGACCGGAUGAGCCCCUGUACUUGCGGGUAGAGGGGGAAAGGUGCUAUGGCACCGCCUUAAGAUGAGCCUGCGUCCCAUUAGUUAGUUGGUGGGGUAAAGGCCCUACCAAGGCGACGAUGGGUAGCCGGCCUGAGAGGGUGAUCGGCCACACUGUGACUGAGACACGGNCCAGACUCCUACGGGAGGCAGCAGCUAAGAAUCUUCCGCAAUGGACGAAAGUCUGACGGAGCGACGCCGCGUGAACGAUGAAGGCCGGAAGGUUGUAAAAGGUUUCUUUUGCGGGUGAAGAAUAAGGCGAGGAGGGAAUGCCUCGGUGAUGACGUUAGCCUGUGAAUAAGCCCCGGGUAAUUACGUGCCAGCAGCCGGGUAACACGUAAGGGGCGACGUUGUCGGAAUAUGGGCGUAAAGGGCGUGUAGGCUGUUUGUAAGCCUGGUGUGAAGUGCACGGUACUGUGUAUGUGCGCUGGAACUGCAAGACUAAGUCCGAAGGGGAGGUAGAAUCUGGUGUAGGGUGAAUCUGUCGAUUCGGAAGAAUACCGGUGGCAAAGGACUCCUGUCCUGACUGACGCUGAGCGCGAAAGCUGGGAGCGAACAGGAUAGAUACCCUG
rnacentral:rRNA from 1 species